rnacentral:rRNA from 1 species
GGAUAAUCUGCCCUCAGGUGAGGAAUAAUCCCGGGAAACCGGGGCUAAUGCCUCAUAGGAGACGGGUGCUGGAAUGCUCUGUCUCCGAAAGGUCCGCCGCCUGAGGAUGAGUCUGCGUCCGAUUAGGUUGUUGUUGGGGUAACGGCCCAACAAGCCUUUGAUCGGUACGGGUUGUGGGAGCAAGAGCCCGGAGAUGGAUUCUGAGACAUGAAUCCAGGCCCUACGGGGCGCAGCAGGCGCGAAAACUUUACAAUGCGAGCAAUUGUGAUAAGGAAACCCUGAGUGCCUGUCAAUGCAGGCUGUUCUGGUGUCUAACACACACCAGGAGAAAGGGCGGGGCAAGACCGGUGCCAGCCGCCGCGGUAAUACCGGCUGCUCGAGUGAUAGCCACUUUUACUGGGCUUAAAGCGUUCGUAGCUUGGUCGUUAAGUCUCUGGGGAAAUCUUUUGGCUCAACCAAAAGGCGUCUCAGGGAAACUGACGAUCUUGGAACCGGGAGAGGUAAGACGUACUUCGGGGGUAGGAGUGAAAUCUUGUAAUCCCCGAGGGACGACCGAUGGCGAAGGCAUCUUACCAGAACGGCUUCGACAGUGAGGGACGAAAGCUGGGGGAGCAAACCGGAUUAGAUACCCGGGUAGUCCCAGCCGUAAACGAUGUGCGUUAGGUGUGUCAGUGACCACGAGUCGCUGAGGUGCCGAAGGGAAACCGUGAAACGCACCGCCUGGGAAGUACGGUCGCAAGGCUGAAACU